CAGCCGCCACGGGAAUACGUAGGGUGCGAGCGUUAAUCGGAAUUACUGGGCGUAAAGCGUGCGCAGGCGGUUGUGUAAGACAGGUGUGAAAUCCCCGGGCUUAACCUGGGAACUGCGCUUGUGACUGCACAGCUAGAGUAUGGCAGAGGGGGGUGGAAUUCCACGUGUAGCAGUGAAAUGCGUAGAGAUGUGGAGGAGCACCGAUGGCGAAGGCAGCCCCCUGGGCCAAUACUGACGCUCAUGCACGAAAGCGUGGGGAGCGAACAGGAUUAGAGACCCCUGUAGUCCCUGUCUCUUAUAC
rnacentral:rRNA from 1 species